UGGCUCAGAUUGAACGCUGGCGGCAUGCUUUACACAUGCAAGUCGAACGGCAGCACGGGGUGGUAACACCCUGGUGGCGAGUGGCGAACGGGUGAGUAAUAUAUCGGAACAUGUCCGGAAGUGGGGGAUAGCUCGGCGAAAGCCGGAUUAAUACCGCAUAUGCCCUGAGGGGGAAAGGAGGGGAUCCGCAAGGACCUUUCGCUUUCGGAGUGGCCGAUAUCGGAUUAGCUAGUUGGUGAGGUAAAGGCUCACCAAGGCGACGAUCCGUAGCGGGUCUGAGAGGACGACCCGCCACACUGGAACUGAGACACGGUCCAGACUCCUACGGGAGGCAGCAGUGGGGAAUUUUGGACAAUGGGGGAAACCCCGAUCCAGCCAUGCCGCGUGAGUGAAGAAGGCCUUCGGGUUGUAAAGCUCUUUCAGACGGAAAGAAACGGUCACGGCCAAUACCCGUGACUAAUGACGGUACCGUCAGAAGAAGCACCGGCUAACUACGUGCCAGCAGCCGCGGUAAUACGUAGGGUGCGAGCGUUAAUCGGAAUUACUGGGCGUAAAGCGUGCGCAGGCGGUUUUGUAAGACAGACGUGAAAUCCCCGGGCUUAACCUGGGAACUGCGUUUGUGACUGCAAGGCUAGAGUACGGCAGAGGGGGGUAGAAUUCCACGUGUAGCAGUGAAAUGCGUAGAUAUGUGGAGGAAUACCGAUGGCGAAGGCAGCCCCCUGGGUCGAUACUGACGCUCAUGCACGAAAGCGUGGGGAGCAAACAGGAUUAGAUACCCUGGUAGUC
rnacentral:rRNA from 1 species